CAUCUCCCAAUCUGCGCGAUUGCACUUGUGUGCCGUAGUGUAAUUGUCGUAACUGGAGAGAGAGAGAAACUGAGUUUUGUGUGUUCACCAGAGAGACCUCGGCCGUGGUCUUCUCUGUCCUUGCAAAAUCCUACAUUU